UAUAGCUUGUGCUUAUUGGGCCUGUAUUGCCGACUCAGAGAUUUUAUCUGUGCUUAUUGGGCCUGCGUUGCCGACUCCGAGGUUUAUUACAGUGAUCAGUGUCUUCUUCUUUGCUCUUUGAAAUAGAGAGAGCCUUGUCGCUUCUUCUACAGAUCCUCAAAAUCAAAAAAUUCACAAAAAUCUGUCUUUUGAGUUUUGAGCGCCAUUGAAAUUUCUUCUUCUUCUUAAUUGGGUUUUAAGCGCCAUGAAUCUCGAAAAACUCAAACCGAAAAAUCGAUGGUGUUGAUUGAAGAAAACUGCCGAGGCAAAUCGAACCCCUUGAAGCAUAAGAUUUCCUUCUUUAGCGCUUCCGUUUGAUUCCAGCUCCUUGGUAGUUCGCUUCAUGUACUCCUGAGCUAGCCUAAGCGAGCUGUAUUUUAUCUGCAACAAGGAGACAUAGCUCCAUUCUGAUUGAUCUUGUUCCCCAUAUGAGACUCUCUCUUCGUCAGGGCACGAUAAAACUCUACAACUUCUGGAGCACGCGACACAGAUCUUUUUCCAAGUGUUGUCUUUGAUGGAAGUGGUGGAGGUGGUGGCGGCUUUAUUGCUGUAGACUGUACUUGGGCCAUUGGCUUGGGAUUUGGAUUCCUGACCUCUUGACCCUUUGUGUUG